UGUAAACUUUAGGAGUAGCUAUUAAAUUAGUUUGAGAAACAUCCUUAGAACCUGAUUUGGUUAAUACCAACGUAGGAAAAAGUUAUGUUCGAUAA
rfam:Winogradskyella psychrotolerans RS-3 Winogradskyella_psychrotolerans_contig_15, whole genome shotgun sequence.